rnacentral:pre_miRNA from 1 species
AUGAAAUUUUUUUAUAAUUAAUAUUUUCAUUGUUGUUAGAUGAUAAAACAUGAUUAAUACUUUAUACGUGACUUAUCUUUUUAAUUUUUUUAAAUAAGACAGACGGUCAAACGUUAGACACGAAAACCAGGGUUUGUCUUUUU